AAUGUUUUUCAAUUUUUCAUUUGAUUUCUAGAUUAAUUGGUUAUUUACGCUGUCAUGCAAAUGGUGCUCCUCGUUUCAAAUAUGCACUUUACAUGGCGAAUUUUCAAACUCAAAGAACAAUAAAGAAACAAUUUAAACCAUAAAAUCAAUAUAAUGUUGAAUUCGGCAAAUCUUCUUUUUUUUGAUUUUCAGAUAAUUUGAAGUUACCGACUAGCAAUUAAUAUUGGUUUUCAUUGAAUUGACCCCGCCAUCAUAGGCCUACCAGACUGUAAAGGAUAUUUUUCGCUGUAUUUUCUGAAUAAUGAUUUGUUUGUGAGAAAUCGUUCGAAUCGCAGGAAUUUCAGAAACUUUCUUUAAUUUACUUAUUUCUUCCUUCUUUAACAUUUCUAUUCCUGCCAAUUAAGUUCUUUGUCUGGUAAGGUCUUGAUUUCCGGACAUAGGUUAAGAAAUAUGAUAAUUGAUUCUUUUUUCAAUUAUCAAACUUGAGGAGUUUUGACAGAAUCAAACCCAACUUUGACCACUAAGAAAACAUUAAAUACCAAAGGGAAAAGAGUGAGACAGCGUGACAAAAUGUCACAAAAGGCCAUUAAAAAAGGCCACCCAGCAACCUUGCCCAAUUUUUCUUAUUUCCUACUUCUUAUUUCUACUUCGUUUUCUUUUAUUACAUUUUCUGUUUUUUAUUAUUAUUAAUUCAAUUCCAAAAGUAUUCUAGAAAAGCAUUCAUGAUUAUAUAAAAAUGGAUUGAUUUGUAACAGAAUUCAUCGCUCCAUAAUGAAACGCGGUUAUUGAUGAGAAAAAUGCCAAUUAUUAUUACGAGAAAACAAUCCGCGUGCAAGUAGAAAAUUUGCACGUCCCGGAUUAUUGGCAAUGUCGUGGACUGGAGAGAUAAUGCGCGGGUACCCGCGGGAUAUAACGUUCCAGUCCGAUAGACUCAAACCAAAACGAAGCUCACAUGGUCAAGUGUAGGCGAUUCCCUGGGAAUCAAGGCUGGCUGCACAAACCUUGCAAAGUUUUCUCUAGUCAGUGGCAAAGAAACAUUAAUUAAUCAACAGGUACCUUCUUGAAUACACAUGCAAAUAGAUUCGUAACACUUUUUCAACUUCAGUUUAUACGGAACGGAAUUUGGUAUACAAAUACGUGGGCAGUUAAGUUUGCGAAACAACAUCACAUUCAAACUUCAUCAGAAUCUCGCCUUUUUCGUUCUGGUACAAUCCGAGGGGCAUUUCACUCUUGCAAAUAGCGUACGAGAUUUUCCCUGAAACAAAAUAAUUUCUAGGGAUUUUCCGAUAAAACAAUAGGAUUUCCACCAAAAGCGUACGAGGUUUUCUUGGAGUGAUUUGCUUCUCGGUACAAUCAAGGGGUUGACUUCACGAGGAUUGGACUUAAAUCCUCGUGUUUGACACUGUGAGCACACCUUCGUUGAAUUUUGUACGCUUUCAAAUUGCAUGGCUCCUUUAUCUAACCUGUCAAUUUUCAUUGAGCCUGUAUUUUCUUCUAAAACUAAAUCAAAAGCAAGCAGCCAACAGGCCCACCAACUAUUCCAUUAUUUCACUAAUCUCAAAAAAAUUGUAACUAUAAUUUUGAUGGGUGACAACAAUGGUAUAAGAGCUCCAGCCAAACUUGUUUACAUACCAACUUUGUUUUAUCUUCAAGUCAGUGGUUUCCAUCCUUAAUGUCUUGUGGCAAUAAGUAUGUAAGUGCUUUAGUAUCUAAGACUCUGCACUGUGGACUGUAUUCUGGUCUGGCCUGUACCACCAGCCAGUCAUUGUAGUAGCAAUCCAGUUUUAAUGAAUCUCUCCCUUUAAUGCUCUGCAACUAGGGUUUGAUAUUAUCAGCUAAUCACCAUAUUUGAAUACUAAUUAUUACUAAGUUUUUUUAAAUUGAAAUUGAAACUUUUCUUGAUUAUUUUGGAAGGACUCUGAUUGCAAUUGUACUUUUCCAAGUUUCAGCUGAUUUCCACUAAUUUUAUUGUUGCAGUUUGUCUAUAUAUCAAUAUUACCCUUAAAACUUUUCAUCCUAUGGAUGUAUUUUUACAGGCAAAGAGAUUUUCAAUGUGCAUCAUAAACAAAAGAAUACUGCAUUUUCAAAUGCCAAUUUUGAAUGGUUUUGCUUUAAUACUAAAUAUUAUGUAACAAUGAGUCAAAACUGUGUCAUUAUGAGAUUGAUUCCGAACUUCUGAUACUUUUGGCAAGACUAUGAUGGUUGACAAAAUAUCAAAUUAUUAUAACACUUGUAAGUUAUCUCAAGGCCAAGAAAAGAGUUCUGAAUUCGGUUAUUGUGGAGAACGAAUGUAAUAUCAUCAAAAAAUGAGACGGGGAAAAUGAAACCAAGUACAAAUUCAAAAUUGAAGUUCCAACCCAAUUGAGAAAAUACCUAAAUGUGAUUAAACUUUCAUGAGCAUUAAUAUUUUUUCCUUAGGAGGCAUAAAAAGUUUCCUAUUCUACAGUUGGUGCAUUCUGCUAUGUUGUCAAACUUUCUUUUUCAUGUUCUAUUAAUAUUUCCAUAAUGCUUCAAAUGUUGGUAACAUAUUUGCUCUUUUAGUAGCCGCAGUCAGUGUCCUUUUCUUUUCACACCAUACUUGUUUUGCUGCCAAAUACUUUUGAAAUUCAAGUUGAAAUGGGGCAAAGGAACUCUGAGAAGCUUUUGUUAAUGCUUUAAACAAUUCAUUUUUAUGUAUAUCUGAAAAAGAUCUCUGUUGUUUUUACCUUUUUUGUUAGGCUAAAAAAACAGAAACCCUCUGAAGCUUUACAUUGACAUUUAUAAGAAGGGAAAGGGCAAUCAAAAGCUCCACUACACUUAUUUAGCAUGGCAAAUUGAAAGUGUUUGUUGUGGCACUCAUUUUAGAAAAGCUGAAAAUGAGAAAACUCUGGCAAUUUUAAAGGAUUUUGUCUUUGAAUAAAGUGUGCUUGCCUGAUAUUGCUGGUAAAAUGUUCUAUGAUUUCAUAAACAAUACAAGAAUGGUAUAUGAUAGCUUGUCAUUGUUGACAUAGGUACAUGCAAGUGGUGUUGUUGUCUUGUACUGUACUCAUAAAUUUGUGAGUUUGUAUGGAACAAUUCAGAGAGAUAUUAGGGAGCUUGGUUGUUUAGACAUUUGUACAGUAAACAGAGCCUAUGAGUCUUUGGUUGUUCCUCAAGCCUCUUCCACUGAAGUUUGUUUAAAGCUAGUGUCACAUGACCAAACUCACGCAUCCCAGUUAACUACCUUUGCUGCAAAGUUCUCAAUUGACUGAGCUUUGUGUAGUGCUGUUUUGACGCAUGGCCAUAGACAAUAUCGCCAUAUUGUACGCUUGAGAGUACACAUGCUUGCACAACCUUUGAAAAAGUUUCUCUUUUCAUACAGUUUCUGAUCUGUGUCAUUUGUAUUAGCUUCCCUGCACAAUAUUUCUUUAGCUGAGAGAUGUGGCUGUUUCAUGAAAGUGUUUGAUCAAUCUGCAUGCCAAUUAUUGUAACCUCCUUUGCAGCUUCAAGUAUAUUUUUCUGAAUAUCAAUUUUUGAACAUGACGGUGGAAUCUUCACAAGUUGAUUAUUUGUGCCAAUUAUGAUAAAAUGAAACUUGUCCGGGUUUGCCAUUAACUUAUUUGCAGAAAACCACUCAAGUAUCAAGUUAAUAUCAUCCUUCAAUAUUGAGAGCGUUUCUUCAACCUUUUCAGCUUUGAAAGAGGCGUAUAGCUGUAAGUCAUCAGCAUACCCAUGUAUAUUUGAGUCAUUAGAUGAUAGUUUCUUAAGCAUGGCUGUUAUCUCGUUUAUGUACAGGUUGAAUAAUGUGGGUCCCAGGACAGAGCCUUGUGGUACACCGCAGGGGACCUUUGCUGCACUUGACAAUAUGUUGCCGACUUUAACGUAUUGAAGUCUGUUUUGGAGGUAACAGUUGAACCAAAACAUUGAAUGAGUGUCAAAACCAUACCUUAGUAGUUUUUGAAGCAUUCAUGGGUGGUCAAUGGUAUCAAAUGCUUUGCUAAAAUCCAUCAGUAUUAUGGGUGUGAUAAAGCCUUUGUCCAUGUUACAUAAAAUGUUAUCAGUUAUGCUUAUGAGGGCAGUUUGAGUUGAAUGAUUCUUGCAAAACCCAGAGUAACAUUUUGUGAGAAUAUCGUUAUAUUUCAGAGAGUGGGCCACUUGUGUGUUUACAACGUUUUCCACCAGUUUGGGGAGAAAUGGUAACACAAACACUGGGCGAUAAUUUGCUAUUGCAGUUUUAGCUCCAGCUUUUAAAGACUGGAGUAAUCAAUGAAGAUUUCCAUAUCAAAGGGAGCUGUGCUGAUGCAAUGCUCAGGUUUAAUAUGGAUGCAAUGGAUGGGGACACUAUGUCUGCCACAAUUUUCAAAGAUUUGAGGUCAAUGUUAUCGGCGCCAGUUGCUUUAUUUGAUGGGAUGUUCAGCAGCCAAUUUUUUACCUCUGCACUUUUUACAGUUUUAUAAGAGAACUUAGAUCUUUUGUCCAAAGGAAUGGGGAAGCUCUGUUUAGUUGGCUGUAAUUUAUUUUGGGUCAUCACACCAAUUUCUGAGAAAAAAGUGUUCAGUUUAUUUGCUUGAUCCUUGUUCAACCACUCAGGUGGAAGAGGGUUACUUUGCUUUUUUUUUGGAGCAAGUCGCUUAAUGCAGUUCCACAUCUGUUUAGGGUUUCUUUACAUUCAGUUAGUGUCUUUUGAAAGAAGGAGUCUCUUGCAUCUCUCACAGCCUUGAUAACGCUCUUUUUCUCCACUUGGUAUUGCUUCCAUACUAUUUCAGACUUGGUAACUAUUGUUUUUAUCCUGGUAUUGUCUCUGUUGUUGAGUAGAGUCUGUAGUUCGUGUGUAAACCAGGGCUUUGGUUUUGAUCUAAUUUUUAUUUUUCUCAAAGAGGCAUGCUUAUUUAAUGUGUUUGUGUAAAGCCCAUUCCAUUUACUAACUUCCUCAUUCGUGUCAUUUGUUUUGAGACAAUCCUUCAGCGGUAGCUGUGAGACAUCAGCUCUGAACUUUUCAGAUACAAGUUCUUGUAAGAUCUCACCGUUUUGUAAUGGGUGCUUGGCUUGGGACACUUUCUUUGUAAUUGGUAUGCAGUAUAGCAAUGAAUGAUCACUUAUAGAAGGGUGGUAUACUCCUGAUUUGAUUGUGUUCAGGGUGGGUGUCUUAAUAAUCAAGUCAAUCAAGGUUUGUGUUUCUGCAGUUACCCUUGUUGCCUCAGAGAUUUCCUGACUAAGGUGGUAAGAUGAUAUUCUCUCAAUAAGCUCUUUAUUGGGGCUCUCUUGUGGCUUCAAGAAAUUGCAUUUAAAAUUCCCAACCAACAGGAUCUCUUGGUUAGUUGAUAUGACUUCAAGUAAGGUGUUUUAAAGAUCAGCCAAAUGGCUAACUGGGCUGUUUGGAGCUCCAAGUAUAAUUGGUUUACACCUUCAAAUGCUAAUUUUCACCCAGAGUUGUUCUAUUGUGCUGCUUUCUGAAUAGGUAUGACUCAGCUGAACAAUCUCGUUUAUAUCAAUGCAAUUUUUAGAGUAGAUUAAAAUCCCUCCACCUCGCUUGUUUGCUUGGUCAACUCGAAUGCCACAUUUGUAGCUUCCAAUCAUUAAAGCAUGUCUAUCAAUUUCUUGUUCAGCCAGGUCUCUGUUACAACCAGGACAUCUAUUAGAGACUGAUCUAACAAAUGCUCAACCAUGUGUUUUGAUGGUAGUAAUGACUGCAUGUUGAUAUGAGCUAUUUUAAUGUUUCCGUCAUAUCUUCUAAAAGUAGCUUGGAUAAGGUCGACUGUGUUUUGCUGAGGCUCCACUGUCUCCUCUGGAGUGAGUCGGUCAUGAUCAGGUGGCGUUUUAGGCCCAUUGAUUAUCGGCAGAGCAUUCAGGUUAAGUCUCCUUAUACAAGCUUGGCAGUUCCAAGAUAUUUUAGUUGUUAGUUGAAGCUGUGUGUGUUGAGCUGGGCUGACAUCUCCACAUUUUAUGUGGCACCGGAGUUCACAGCUAUCCCAGCUCAGGGCUCGAUGAUUUUUUGCAAUUGCUUUUUGGCAUACAGAACAUGGAUGUUUUAUUGGGCCUGGAUUUGUUUAAAUAUCAUAAGCCAGAAUAAAGCUAAUGGAGCCAUCAGUGAGUACUUGGUACGUAGAACAGCCUUUUGAUGCAAAGUGAGCUAUCCUUGCUCCAACAAAUAUCUUUUUGUUUAGUUGUCCGGGCUUCUUAUUAGGCCUUAGACCUAAGUGUUUUGUCACAGUAGCUUCAAUGCUGAAACUCAACGGAGCUCUAUUCUCUUUCCAUGCUUCUUUUGCAAUGUAUGCAUGAGGAGUUGAGGAUAGCAAUUUGUGGAAUAGCAGCACAAUAACGAAUGAGUUAACAGUGAGCAUGUAAAAUUACGCAUCAGCAUGUUGGAGUCCACAUACAAAGAAGAACAUUGACAAAAUUGAAGCUGUCCAGAGACGAGCUGCUAGGUUUACAUUAGAUUAUCGCGUUUAUGGCACAGACGCUCAGUUGACACAGAAAAUGAAAUCAUUAAACUGGCUACCACUACAACACCAACACUGCAUCCAUGACCUUCAAAUCUUCAAUAAAAUUCGAAACAACAUGCUCAGCAUCUCGUUUCCAGAAAUUGUCCUUUCCUAAACCAGAAAUCCGCUCAAAUAUCAAACAAUCCAAUGCCUCCACUCUGAAGCUUUCAAAAAUCAAUUCUUCGUAAGAACAAUUCGGAUUUGGAAUAGCCUACCGCCAGAAAUUAUGAAUUGCGUGAGAGAAGAAAAAUUCAAAGUAUCAGUGACAGAAUGGUUGCGUCCACGCCAGUGGGUGAAGGUGGCCUCCACCAACACAUGGACCCUAGUAUAGACUUAUUCGAGACAAUUUUUACUCUUUUGUUAGCCUUGUUAUCCCUAGUUUAUGAUUAACACCGCUUCCACACUGGCAAUAGCCAACCUUUGCUUGGAUUUGUUGAACCAAAACCAAAUGCAACAUUUUGUAGAAAUUAACAAGCUGGAGCGCUGGGUGGAAAUGGUAUUAAUCCUACUCAAGUUAAUUUUCCUUUUCCAAAAUUUAAAAAUUUUUUUUUUUUUUUUAUACUCCAGAUCGGUUGUAAAGCCUUUAGGAGUUAACUAUUGAAGAUUGAAGAUUGAAGUGAGAAAAAAUCGUGUGUUCGCCAUUUUCAAUGCAAUUCAAUUCGGACCAUGAACCAAUUUGAGUGUAGGAGCUUUGCACAUUCUCAAUAUCUAUGAAUCUUUUGCACUAUUAUUUUCUCAUGUUUUUCCAGUAUGUCAUGCUCGUUGCUUACACUUGCUGGGAUGAUGAUCUGCCUUCCAUUUACGAUUUUCCCAUUUGUCUUUGAUACCUCUUAACAACGUCAAACUCGAUGUGCCAAAAUUUUCGGAUUGUUUCAGGGCACGGAAGUCCAUCCUUUCUGUACCAUUGUCAAAUCAUUUCUGUACAGUCCAUCCUUUCUGUACCAUUGUCAAAUCAUUUCUGUACAGUCCAUCCUUUCUGUACCAUUGUCAAAUCAUUUCUGUACAGUCCAUCCUUUCUGUGCCAUUGUCAAAUCAUUUCUGUACAGUCCAUCCUUUCUGUACCAUUGUCAAAUCAUUUCUGUACAGUCCAUCCUUUCUGUACCAUUGUCAAAUCAUUUCUGUACAGUCCAUCCUUUCUGUACCAUUGUCAAAUCAUUUCUGUACAGUCCAUCCUUUCUGUACCAUUGUCAAAUCAUUUCUGUACAGUCCAUCCUUUCUGUACAGUCCAUCCUUUCUGUACAGUCCAUCCUUUCUGUACAGUCCAUCCUUUCUGUACAGUCCAUCCUUUCUGUACAGUCCAUCCUUUCUGUACAGUCCAUCCUUUCUGUACAGUCCAUCCUUUCUGUACAGUCCAUCCUUUCUGUACAGUCCAUCCUUUCUGUACAGUCCAUCCUUUCUGUACAGUCCAUCCUUUCUGUACAGUCCAUCAUUUCUGUAAAGUCCAUCCUUUCUGUACAGCCCAUCCUUUCUGUAAAGUCCAUCCUUUCUGUACAAUCAUUUUUUAGCUCUUCAAUGCUCUGUGGCUGGUAUCUUGCAAAUGGAUCUAGCCUCACGAGCAGCAAUUUUUUUUUCAAAAAUUUCAUCCUUUCUCCUAGCCUUAGACUAGGCCGCGCAGAAUAGGGCAUCUGCAUCAGCCAUGUAUUUACCUUUUACAUAUUCAACAGAAAAGCUUGACGUACUCCUCCUUUGUAUGACUGGUGUCAUCUCAGCAAGGGGUUUAUAGUUCCGACUUUUAGCGAGAGGAUCAGGAUUAGUUUGUAUGCCAAAAUGUGUCAGACUGUAAAGCUUUUCACAUUUUUAACAACCCUAUGUGACUGCAAGCAUUUCCAUUUCAAUAUUGUGGCUGUUAUUAUCUGCAUCAGAGAGAAUUGGAUUGCUGCCAUUCCAUUUAGUACGCUUCCAUCUGCGCCCAGCUCUGAAAUUGCUGCUUUAAUUAGAAUUUGAAAGAUAGUUUCACUUAGAAUUAGAGUUUGACUUUCGAAAGGUAGUUUCAUGGUUUGCUGUUCAUACCCACGAGUUUUGGUUCAGAGCAGGUCUCCCAAUGGCUCUGACGCUCUAGCAAAAUCUGGUGUGUACUAAGAGAGGGGCUAGUCCAUGCCAAAAGAUCUUUACAGUUCUCUGAUAUUCUGUGCAGUGCAGAUUUGGAGCAGAGCAUCCACCCUGGAGCAAAGAGGCCUAAUUUCUGCUGCUGAAAUGCUGUUUCUCAAAAAUUCUACUGCCAUUAGGUGGAAUUUGCAUUUUCCUUGAGUUUAGAGGGUUCUCCCUGACCAGUAAAUCACUACGAUAAUCCUUUAAGGCAUUCAUCAUGUUCAGCCAUAUCAUAUAAGUUUUUUCACAGGUCCAGGAUCUUUUGAAAAAUGACUUAGCCUUUUUUUCAAUGUAUGACAUAGAAAUUCAUUGAAGACAUUUUUAAUGGUGAAACCAACAAAUUUUCAAGCCUUCAGAGUCGUUUCGAAUAAAACAAAAUUUCCAGAGUUUUCAGAUUUUUCAAAUCUUUUUGAAGGAUAUGGGUUAUAGACUUUUAAAAAAAUGACUUAAUUCUUUUUUCCAACUAGGAGAUUGAAAUUCAUGGAAAACACUUCUAACUGUGUUAAGAACGUGUUUUCAAGCAUUUCAAGUCGUUUUGAGCUAAAAAAUUUGGCCUGCAAUUUAUUGGAAACUCAUCAAAUGGUGUUGCCAACAUAAAUCAAAUCAUUUUAGGUUCCUUUGAGCGGAAAUUUUUUUUUGCGAAAAUUUUAAAUUUUUGAGUUUUUUGCAUUUUGCGGUCACAGAUUUUUUGAAAAAUGACUAAAUUCUUUUUUUAGAGUUACGGACCCGAAAUUCCUCGGAAUGUAUACAAAUGGUGUUGCGGACGUAUUUGAAAGCUUUUUAGGUUGUUUCAAGCUAAAAAAAAUUUUGUAUAAAUUUCUCAUUUUUUGGGUUUUUUUGCAUAUCCGGGGUCAUGGAUUUUUUGAAAAAUGACUAAAUUCUUUUUUGAGAGUUUAGGGCCUGAAAUUCAUUGGAAACUCCAAAAGUGAUGUUCCGGCCUUUUUUUAACGCUUUUCAGGUUGUUUCGAGCCAAAAUAAAUUUUUUCGCAAAUUCACAAUUUUUUGAUUUUUUUGCAUAUCCGGCCGGGAUCAUGGAUUUUUUGAAAAAUGACUAACUUCUUUGUUGAGAGUUACAGGCCUGAAAUUCAUCCGAAACACCACAAACGAUGUUGCAGACGUAUUUUAACGCUUUUUAGGUUGUUUCGAGCCAAUUCACAAUUUUUUGAGUUUUUUUGCAUAUCUAAGGUCAUGGAUUUUUGAAAAAUGACUACGUUCUUUUUUGAGAGCUACAGGCCUGAAGUUCAUCGGAAACUCUACCAACGGUGUUGCGGACGUAUUUUAACGCUUUUUAGGCUGUUUCGAGGCACAAUAAAUUUUUUCAAAAUUCACAAUUUUUGAGUUUUUUUGCAUAUCCGGAACAUGGAUUUAUUAAAAAUUGACUUACUUCUUUUUGAGAGUUACAGGCCUGAAAUUCAUCAGAAACUCCACAAAUGGUGUUGCGGACGUAUUUAAACGCUUUUUAGGUUGUUUCGAACCAAAAUAAUUUUUUUUGAAAAUUUAUACUUUUUUGAGUUUUUUUGCAUAUCCGGGAUCAUGGAUUUUUUAAAAAAUGACUUACUUCUUUUUUGAGGGUUUCGGGCCUGAAAUUCAUCCGAAACUCUACAAACGGUGGUGCGGACGUUUUUUAAUGCUUUUUAGGUUGUUCGAGCAAAAGUAAAUUUUUUCGAAAAAUUCCAAUUUUUUGAGUUUUUUUGCAUAUCCGUGAUCAUGGAUUUUUUGAAAAAUGACUACGUUCUUUUUUGAGAGUUACGGGCCUGAAAUUCAUCGGAAACUCCAGAAAUGGUGUUGCAGAUGUAUUUUAAGACUUUUUAGGUUGUUUCGAGCCAAAAUAAUUUUUUCGAAAAUUCACAAUUUUUUGAGUUUUUUUGCAUAUCCCGGAUCAUGGAUUUUUUAAAAAAUGACUUCCUUCUUUUUUGAGAAAUAUGGGCCUUGAAAUUUUUUGAUACUGGUCAAUUGUUGUUGCGAACGUUAAUUGUGUUGUUUUGGGUUGUUUCGAAGGAAAAAUUCGUUGUCCAAAAGUUUAGUAUUUUAUGUGUUUGGAAAGAUAAAAAUUUUUAAUCUUGACAUAACCUUUUUCUUUCAGACAUUACUUCGAAGGCCACUGAAAAGUCAUUAAAUGAUCAAACAAAGACGUUACUUGGAAGGCCACUGAAAAGUCAUGAAAUGAUCAAACAAAGACGUUACUUGGAAGGCCACUGAAAAGUCAUGAAAUGAUCAAACAAAGGGAUUUGUGCUUUAUGAUGCUGCCUAUAGAUGCACAGCACCAGUAUUGGAAGGAAGACUUUUGGUUGGGGAAAGUUAGUAUGUAAUUUUCCAAGAAAUGCCGAAGGCUUGGAUCGUACCAAUAAAUGCUUAGCUGAGUCGUCGUUGAAAAGCUGGCUACAUUCAUGACAGAAAACGGUUGGUAUCCUGUGACGGAGGUUAUGAGGGAUGAGGCAUGGCCCCUACCCAAUUUCCUGUUAGAAAGUUUGGCUUUAUCAUUGGAUAUUUGAGAAACGUUGAACGUGUAGAAAUCCCAUUCAAGAUGUUGGUCAAGUUAAAAACAGAGCUCUAGCCUUUUAUAGUCUAAAUCAAUUUCAUUUACAAAAUCAUGAUCAGGGAAUGAGUGGUGCGCAUAAUGAAGAAUUUGAGUUGUUGAAAAUGAAAAAUUUUAGUUUAUACCUAAACGAAAUAGUUUGUUAUAAGAAAAAGUCUUAGUACCAAUAAUUGGGGUCAUUUUUUAAUUGUUUAGCUAUUAUCCAAUUAUUUUAUGGAUUGACGAUUUUACUCCCCAUUACAACUCUUGUCUACAUUACAAUGAAAUUUCUAGAGGCUUUUUAUUAUCAGGUUUCUUAAACUGCCUACCAAAUACAAAGAAAUUUCAACCAGAGCAAAGAGUAACAAGUCGAUGAUAAUCCGUGAAUCAAGUAUUGUGUUAUUCAGCCCCUGAGGCUAGCGGUGGCUGGUUGAUAGUAAACAGAAGAGCCAAGCAACGCAUCUUUCUUCCUUUCACGUUUUCUUUCGAUCCACAUCUGGAUAUAAAUUUUCAGCUUAUUUUCGGUCAUCAUCCGACGUUUAUACUGUGCAGAAUGUCGGACGAAAAGCACUUAAGUAUGCUAUAGUUCUGCUAUUUAAUGCUAAUUUUGAAAAAGGAAUUUACAUAUUUUUAGACACUUUUUAGUAUGCUAUGUUUUCGCUAUUUCGCGCAAUUUAAAAAAACCAAUUAAUUAAAGGUUUUUUGGAAAUAUUUCACUUCAUUUCUCAGCCUUUAGCGUUUGCUUUUUAGCAAAAAGUGACCCGUCACUUUCAUUACGGAUCUAAAUUGAAUUAUUGAAGACAAUCCAGAAGUAAUUUGACAGAAUUCAACAUGAAAAAAUUUAUGAAAAAUUGACCUUUUGUCUUGAAGUGAUCUUUUAUCACAAUUCGGUUUAACGUUUCUCGCAACUACAAUUCCGGAAUUUUUCAAUAAAAAGUGACUUUUUUCCAGAAUUCAAUUCAUUUCUUGUUAUUGUGAUCAUCUCGAAACGAAUUGGUUUAAAGAAAAGGUUUAAUCGACAGGUUUAUAAGAAAAACCCAUUUUUCUAAGCUUGCAGCGCUACCUUUUGACAAAAAUUGGCAGUUCUAGAAAAUCCUUAUUUUCUUAUGAAAAUUAUUUUUAUUCCAGAAAAAAAUUCAAAUGUUAUUUAUUCUAAUCCAGGGGCGUCUAUCUAAAAUUUUGGGUUGGGUGAAACACUUUUCGUAACAGGCCGGCUAGAUGGAUAAUUACGUAACAUUUUACUUUUAAGCCGCGCUACUUUUAAAAGUAGUAUUAGACUACAAAACUGCAAAGCUUGCAGAUGGGCAGGAUUGGGAAAAUAUAAGGACAAAGUACGACGACAUAUCGUCAAAGUUUCGUAAUAAUUCUUCAACACAGUAGUCUAUCAACUUGAUGUUCGGUUUUCUGGCGACAAAAAGCCACGGAUUACAUAUUCGAACUACCUUGAAUUGAGAAAUAUUCUGUCAUACUUUCGCGUGGAUCUGGUCUAGAUCGGAUCUGUCUACGACAAAUAACGUAGACAGAUCCGAUCUAGACCAGAUCCACCCGUUUACACAGGAUCCGGUCAAGAUCGGAUCCAUACGGGAUCACCUCUGAAAGCGAUCCCAGAAGUGUUCGAAUAGCGGAUCCAAAAGUAUACGGAUCCACCAGUUCCUGUGUAAAUGCAAGGCCUAUCCGUACUCUUUUGGAUCCGAUCCAGUUCGGAUCCGCUCUCGUGUAAACGGGUUCUUAAAGAUCAUCAGCGAAAAACGAUCAUUACUAAAAGUCUUACACUUGAACACCCAACCGCUUGUGUCCAAAAAAUUUUGAAAUAGAGUAUAACAACAGAGACAACAUACGAGGUGGCGGUGUAGGGUGCUACGUAAAUUCCGGGAUAAAGUACAAAAGAAGGAAAAAUAUUGAAAGCGAAGGGCAGGAUUUAGAACAUCUAUGGAUUGAGUUAGCUGGAAAAAAUAAGAACUCGAAAUUAUUGAUGGGAGUCAUCUUUCGAUCAGAUAAAAUCUUAAGAUUCAACAAUUGGUUAGAACAACUUGACAAAGUGAUAUCAUAUGUGAAAGCAAGUUGGGAUGGUGCUGUAAUGAUAACUGGAGACACAAAUAUCGAUCUUCUCUCACCAGAUAAAGCUGAUAGCAAAAAGUAUUUAGGCUUACUGGAACAAUACAACAUGCAUCAGAUUGUUUCAAAGCCAGCGAGAACAACAUCGACGUCAAGCACUCUUAUCGAUCAAAUCAUAGUAAGCCACAAAGAUCUGGUCAAACAUACGGCCUUGACUAAAUGCAUCAACUAACAUAAGAUUUGGCCUUUCUUUAAAAUACGCUUUGCAGUCCCUCGACCUGACUUCAAGCGCUUCAAAUCGGCUCAACAAGAGACUAACAAAGAUUAACGUUCUAGCCUAAAAAUAGCAUAGAAGGAUCUUCUGACUCAGCCUGGUAUACGAAACAUAAAGUUACAAACCUUUGUGAAAAAUUUCUUUUGGAUUUAUGCGAAGGUAGAUGAGAUAGGCAGGCACGAAAUAAAGGGCCUGUCUAUCUUACCACUAACUUACCCUGGUGAAAAUGAGAUCUGAUUUUCUUUUUGAACAGCCUACACAAGAAAAUAUAUCUGUUUUUCUUGCCCGGUAUUUAAAGUAAUUGAGAACCCCAGUUGUGGAUCUAAGUAGGCCAAUCAGUAACGAGAUCACAAUCUUGGUUUCCCAAUAAAUGCUGCCCAAUAGCAGAAUCGCAUGUUUAGUUUUAGAUCUGCAAGACCGAGGUUGGUGUUCUCUUUGGGGAUGAGUUUUGUUUCUAAUACUAGACAGAAUAUGUUGUUUUAUUCUAUCCUUCAUUGUAAAGUUUUAUCAAAUGUUUGCUUUUUUCAAAGCUAUUUUCAAGUUUUAUACCAUCAAAAGAUUGUGUUCAAUUGAUACAAACACAAACGUAACAAACACCUGAAUGCACUGCGAGGGAAGCGAGCAGAAAAUUUGUCCGGUCACGCCCUUAAAAUUAGUUGAAACACAGUUGAGACUGUUUUUACAGUCGCUUACCACGUUUGACAAUUUUUAGGCAUACUUGUUGCGUUUCGUUAAUAUUCAGUUCUCGAGGCCCUGGGGCAGUUUGCCCCUCCUUCUCUACCCCUCGGCGACUAUAUUCAUAUUCAAGACAUCUUUUUCACAAGGGCCUGUUAGUAUAUGUUGUCCUCCUCUAAUUAUAAACUGUGAACUUAAGUCUAUAUGUAAGUGAGGCAUUUCCUCACGAAGGAUUUUGUUCAUAUUAAAUAUUUUCCUGGGUUUUACAAGCUUACUUGCUAGGGGCCCACCGGGAAAUUUUCCGGUGUCCCGCCUAGCCAUAACGCCCCUGCAAAAAUUAGUUUUCGGACAAUUCUUCCUUCUGAACAAUUUCCCAAAAAUGUUUUCAGAAUGGAACCAAGAACACGAGAGAGAGGUACCGUUUGAGAGGGUGUUGAAGUUCUUUACUGGUGUGAUUGUCUAGAAUUUUGAGUUAUUCGAGGGUGUCUCGAAGUUAGAGUUAAGCUUAUUAUUUUUGGAUUAUCAAACUCUUUGGGGUCAAUGUCCUGAUCUUCCCGAGCCCCCGAACCCUCGACUGUCAAUUACAAAGAAGCGCCUUAGCGCCUUCAGUGUUGAAUUUACCGAAAAGGAGGCUGGACAAAAAACUGUUGUUGUCGUUAAUUUCCAAGGACGUUCAGAUUGGCGAGCCUUCUUGGUUUAUUAUUGAUCUACUUCGAAGGAAAUCAACUAAAUACUUCUCAUCUACAGAAAAGUUGACUGCUACUCGACAUUUUGCAACAAGGCUGAUUGUAUUGGUCACUGAGUUCAGUUGCUUAUCGGCGCUCUGCAGAUGACAGGGUCAUGACGCAUUAUUGGCCAUGUAGGCCGAAGUAAAUCAUCCUGAAUAUUUCCACAUUGAUGAUAAAAAUGGCUGCGAGAGAGACAAGUUAAACAAUUCAACAUUGCCAGUGCUGAAGAGACUACAGAGAAAUAUUAAGAUGGAUCGUGGUGGCAAUCUUGGAGCAAAUCUAUUGUGGAUACAGUGAAGAAAAAGGCAAGGAUCACUUUUAAGAAGAAUAGUUCUUUGAAUGAAGCAUUCAACAUAACUCAUGUAGCUUUGAUGAAUCACACAAUUGUACUGUGGAGGAUUGUUUACAAGAUAUUACAAGUAAGAGAAAGCCAUACCAUUUAUAUAUCAUACAAACCACCCCCGUUAUAUUUUUGUAUUCUAUUUAGCACCCUUGCCAUUAUCCAAAAGAAAAAUGAGCAUUUUUGUAUUCUAUAUAAAUAGCAUGCCAUUAUCUACCAUACCCUUCUAUACAAAGCAUACAGUGCCCAACCAUACUUUACCAUACCCUUCAUAUCCGAUACAGACCACCCCCACUAUAUUUUUGUGUCAAGGCGUCUAGAUGAGUAAAGAUUGUAUUUUGGUUAAUUUACUGCUCUUUUAAAGCCAAUAUAUUGA